GAUGAACGCUGGCGGCGUGCUUAACACAUGCAAGUCGAACGGAAAGGCCAGUGCUUGCACUGGUACUCGAGUGGCGAACGGGUGAGUAACACGUGGGUGAUCUGCCCUGCACUUCGGGAUAAGCCUGGGAAACUGGGUCUAAUACCGGAUAGGACAAUGGUUUGGAUGCCGUUGUGGAAAGUUUUUUCGGUGUGGGAUGAGCUCGCGGCCUAUCAGCUUGUUGGUGGGGUAAUGGCCUACCAAGGCGUCGACGGGUAGCCGGCCUGAGAGGGGGUACAGCCACAGUGGGACUGAGAUACGGCCCAGACUCCUACGGGAGGCAGCAGUGGGGAAUAUUGCACAAUGGGCGCAAGCCUGAUGCAGCGACGCCGCGUGGGGGAUGACGGCCUUCGGGUUGUAAACUCCUUUCGCUAGGGACGAAGCGUAUUUGUGACGGUACCUGGAGAAGAAGCACCGGCUAACUACGUG
rnacentral:rRNA from 1 species